rnacentral:rRNA from 1 species
UACGGAGGGGGCUAGCGUUGUUCGGAAUUACUGGGCGUAAAGCGCGCGUAGGCGGCUUUGUAAGUUAGAGGUGAAAGCCCGGGGCUCAACUCCGGAACUGCCUUUAAGACUGCAUCGCUUGAAUCCAGGAGAGGUGAGUGGAAUUCCGAGUGUAGAGGUGAAAUUCGUAGAUAUUCGGAAGAACACCAGUGGCGAAGGCGGCUCACUGGACUGGUAUUGACGCUGAGGUGCGAAAGCGUGGGGAGCAAACAGG